CCAGACUCCUACGGGAGGCAGCAGUAAGGGAUAUUGGUCAAUGGGGGAAACCCUGAACCAGCAACGCCGCGUGAGGGAAGACGGUUUUCGGAUUGUAAACCUCUGUCCUCUGUGAAGAUGAUGACGGUAGCAGAGGAGGAAGCUCCGGCUAACUACGUGCCAGCAGCCGCGGUAAUACGUAGGGAGCGAGCGUUGUCCGGAUUUACUGGGUGUAAAGGGUGCGUAGGCGGCUAUGCAAGUCAGUAGUGAAAUCCAUGGGCUUAACCCAUGAACUGCUAUUGAAACUGCACAGCUUGAGUGAAGUAGAGGUAGGCGGAAUUCCCGGUGUAGCGGUGAAAUGCGUAGAUAUCAGGAGGAACACCGGUGGCGAAGGCGGCCUGCUGGACUGCAACUGACGUUGAGGCCCGAAAGCGUGGGGAGCAAACAGGAUUAGAUACCCCGGUACAC
rnacentral:rRNA from 1 species